UCGUGUGUUGUGUGUGUCCUGUUCUUUGGGUUUUAGUUUUUGGUUUAGGUGGGUUUGAUGUGUAUAUGGGGGUGUGUGGAGUGGGGGUGUAACUCCGCCUAUGCUAAGAUGAUGGUACGCUUCAUGUUGCAUAGCUGGUCUCAAGCCCGGAAAAAGGAGGAGGGGCCAAACUCUGUUUAUUAUGAAAUUGUGUGACCAUCUUAUCUUCGUAUGGUUGAUUUUACCCAUUACUUGUAGCAUUUGGAGAACCAGAGUAUGCAGCUGGUUUUUGGCAUUUCCCUUUUUGCCUCUUAGAGUUCCAUUUCCAUUUAGUGUUAUUUUUCUCUGACGGUGCAGCUAUAUCCUGGCUGCCAUCCACAUCCAUCUCGUACAUGAUAUGUCCAGCAGAUCUAACAGGCGAAAAAGGUAUCAGCUAUGGCAUGUUUAUGUAUGAAAAAUGUGAUGUAAAGGUGAGGAGUCAGUACCUUCUGUCUGAAGUUUGAUUCAUGAUUUCAUAUCUGGAUUGACAAACUGAAGCUCUCCAUAAUCCCUUAUUUAUCGGUUUCUUUCUUUUCCUAUGUGUAUUAUCGUUGAAAGAAGUGUGAUAUAGUCAAAAUUAAAAUUGAUACUAUAUGGCUUUCCCUGUUUAUUUGUGGUGCCUACAUUGGUACUUGACCACUAUAUAUUCAUGAAUUCAUGAAGUAUAGAAGCUGGUACCUACCUCUAGUCUUUUUAUUAGCCUUUGACUGGGGAAUCAAAGCCAGCAAUUUUCUACUCUAAGGAUUAUGGGAGCUUCUAACAUAUCAGGUUGAGUGUGGGGUUGAUUUAGAAAAUGGAGAUGUGCGGUAGUUGUGUACUUGCGUUAAAGGUUCAGCUUCUUUAAGUGGACACCUAAUUAUGUGCAGGUAGGGGAUGCUGGAGCAUGAUGCCGCACGCCUUGCAGAAGCCCUGUUUUCUUGGGCAAGGGCAGAGCGGGCAAACACAGCCAGGAUUGGAGAUGCUGGAGAAGGCCAAGCUUACCUGCCGGAGACCCCUUGAUGAUGGACCCCGUCAAUUCAUUCUGUCUCUUGAGCCUGCAAUUAUCAACGAGGGUGAAGGCAGAAGGCAGUGGACAAUCAGAACUGAUACAUACACAGAUAGACUGCAAUUGUGCUUGCAUGCAGCUCUGCUUUCUAAACUCUGAAUACUUGCAUGUAUCAAGCUCUGCUUUUGCUCUGUUUUCUCAACUCUAAUCCUCUGGUCUGCUCUGAAUAUUUUUCUGUCGCUUC